UAAUACAGAGGGUGCAAGCGUUGUUCGGAAUUACUGGGCGUAAAGCGCGUGUAGGCGGCUUAUUAAGUCGGACGUGAAAUCCCUUGGCUUAACCAAGGAACUGCGUCCGAUACUGUUAGGCUUGAGUGUCGGAGGGGGUGGCGGAAUUCCUGGUGUAGAGGUGAAAUUCGUAGAUAUCAGGAGGAACACCUGUGGCGAAGGCGGCCACCUGGAAGACAACUGACGCUGAGACGCGAAAGCGUGGGGAGCAAACAGGAUUAGAUACCCUGGUAGUCCACGCCGUAAACGAUGAGUGCUAGGUGUUGCGGGUAUUGACCCCUGCAGUGCCAAAGCUAACGCGUUAAGCACUCCGCCUGGGGAGUACGGUCGCAAGAUUA
rnacentral:rRNA from 1 species